GAAUAUUGGACAAUGGGCGAAAGCCUGAUCCAGCCACGCCGCGUGAGUGAUGAAGGCCCUAGGGUUGUAAAGCUCUUUCGCCAGGGAAGAUAAUGACGGUACCUGGUAAAGAAGCCCCGGCUAACUUCGUGCCAGCAGCCGCGGUAAUACGAAGGGGGCUAGCGUUGUUCGGAAUUACUGGGCGUAAAGCGCACGUAGGCGGGUCAUUAAGUCAGGGGUGAAAUCCCAAGGCUCAACCUUGGAACUGCCUCUGAUACUGAUGAUCUUGAGUCCGAGAGAGGUGAGUGGAACUCCGAGUGUAGAGGUGAAAUUCGCAGAUAUUCGGAAGAACACCAGUGGCGAAGGCGGCUCACUGGCUCGGUACUGACGCUGAGGUGCGAAAGCGUGGGGAGCAAACAGG
rnacentral:rRNA from 1 species